UGCGUAGGCGGUUCGGUAAGUAUCCUGUGAAAGCCCCCGGCUCAACCGGGGAACUGCAGGAUAUACUGCCCGACUUGAGGUACGUAGAGGUUACUGGAACUCUGGGUGGAGCGGUGAAAUGCGUAGAUGUCCAGGGGAACACCUAUGGCGAAGGCAGGUAACUGGGCGUAUCCUGACGCUGAGGCACGAAAGCGUGGGGAGCAAACGGGAUUAGAUACCCCGGUAGUCCACGCCCUAAACGAUGUACACUAGCUUUGGGACUUCUGACAGUUUCCGAAGCGAAAGAAAACCGUUAAGUGUACCGCCUGGGGAGUACGGUCGCAAGAUUAAA
rnacentral:rRNA from 1 species